rnacentral:rRNA from 1 species
GACGAACGCUGGCGGCGUGCCUAAUACAUGCAAGUAGAACGCUGAAGAGAGGAGCUUGCUCUUCUUGGAUGAGUUGCGAACGGGUGAGUAACGCGUAGGUAACCUGCCUUGUAGCGGGGGAUAACUAUUGGAAACGAUAGCUAAUACCGCAUAGCAAUGGAUGACACAUGUCAUUUAUUUGAAAGGGGCAAUUGUUCCACUACAAGAUGGACCUGCGUUGUAUUAGCUAGUAGGUGAGGUAAUGGCUCACCUAGGCGACGAUACAUAGCCGACCUGAGAGGGUGAUCGGCCACACUGGGACUGAGACACGGCCCAGACUCCUACGGGAGGCAGCAGUAGGGAAUCUUCGGCAAUGGGGGCAACCCUGACCGAGCAACGCCGCGUGAGUGAAGAAGGUUUUCGGAUCGUAAAGCUCUGUUGUAAGUCAAGAACGGGUGUGAGAGUGGAAAGUUCACACUGUGACGGUAGCUUACCAGAAAGGGACGGCUAACUACGUG